GAGGUCCCCCAUUAGCAAGACGAACAUUGAUUCAUUGACAUUGGGUGGAGGAAGGAUGCAAUAAUGCUUCGUCCAGACCUACAAAACAACCAUAAUCCCAAAUACCCAGCUUAGGGCACCCAAAAUCAAUCUUCGAAAACAAGCAUUUUCAGAAUGUGUUACAAAGAAGAGCUUAUGGCAAAUGAGAAAUAUCACCUCACCUGCUUCAAAUUACCUCCUCCACAAUAGGUACUUCAGCUCCUUGGAGAUCACCUCAGCACAC
rnacentral:lncRNA from 1 species